GAUGAACGCUGGCGGCGUGCCUAAUACAUGCAAGUCGAGCGAACGGACGAGAAGCUUGCUUCUCUGAUGUUAGCGGCAGACGGGUGAGUAACACGUGGAUAACCUACCUAUAAGACUGGGAUAACUUCGGGAAACCGGAGCUAAUACCGGAUGAUAUUUUGAACCGCAUGGUUCAAAAGUGAAAGACGGUCUUGCUGUCACUUAUAGAUGGAUCCGCGCUGCAUUAGCUAGUUGGUAAGGUAACGGCUUACCAAGGCAACGAUGCAUAGCCGACCUGAGAGGGUGAUCGGCCACACUGGAACUGAGACACGGUCCAGACUCCUACGGGAGGCAGCAGUAGGGAAUCUUCCGCAAUGGGCGAAAGCCUGACGGAGCAACGCCGCGUGAGUGAUGAAGGUCUUCGGAUCGUAAAACUCUGUUAUUAGGGAAGAACAUAUGUGUAAGUAACUGUGCACAUCUUGACGGUACCUAAUCAGAAAGCCACGGCUAACUACGUG
rnacentral:rRNA from 1 species